AUGUCGUCCACCCCGUCCCCAACAGAGACGCAGUCUGCCUCGUCCAUCGGCCUCAUCUUGCAAGGCGGAGAAUGUUGCCUGGAAGUUGUGGCGACUCCGGCAGCGAGAGAGAGAGAGAGAAGAUCGAGUUGGAAAAGCAAGAAGCUGCAAUCAAAUGGGAACUCAAGAAGGCCAAUGCAUUUGGAGAGGUUGCAAUUCGCACGGGACGCGGAGAAUUCGAAGAUCAUGUUGGUGGACGAAACUCUCUUGGAUGAGUAUGAAAAGAAGUGGUUUGCGGACAAGGAGACCAACAACCGUAGGGAGCAUGAGGCGGCAAGGGCUGCAGCAGCAGCGAAUCAUGCGGCCAGGAUGCAGGCGAAGGAGGCAGGACGGAUGCAGGCGGAGCAUGCAGCCCGGAUGCAGGCGGACCAGGACGAUGGCGCCUGCUCUGUGAUCCAACAAGCGCGCCAUCUGUCACGCUUGGACAUUGAUUUCAUUUUGGCUUGUCCGGUUUGUUGA
rnacentral:rRNA from 1 species